rnacentral:rRNA from 1 species
GACGAACGCUGGCGGCGUGCUUAACACAUGCAAGUCGAACGGAAAGGCCCCGCUUUUGUGGGGUGCUCGAGUGGCGAACGGGUGAGUAACACGUGAGUAACCUGCCCUUGACUUUGGGAUAACUUCAGGAAACUGGGGCUAAUACCGGAUAGGAGCUCCUGCUGCAUGGUGGGGGUUGGAAAGUUUCGGCGGUUGGGGAUGGACUCGCGGCUUAUCAGCUUGUUGGUGGGGUAGUGGCUUACCAAGGCUUUGACGGGUAGCCGGCCUGAGAGGGUGACCGGCCACAUUGGGACUGAGAUGCGGCCCAGACUCCUACGGGAGGCAGCAGUGGGGAAUAUUGCACAAUGGGCGGAAGCCUGAUGCAGCAACGCCGCGUGCGGGAUGACGGCCUUCGGGUUGUAAACCGCUUUCGCCUGUGACGAAGCGUGAGUGACGGUAAUGGGUAAAGAAGCACCGGCUAACUACGUG